UACGUAGGGGGCAAGCGUUGUCCGGAUUUAUUGGGCGUAAAGAGCGUGUAGGCGGCUUUACAGGUCCGUUGUGAAAACUGGAGGCUCAACUUCCAGACGUCGACGGAAACCGUGUGGCUAGAGUCCGGAAGAGGAGAGUGGAAUUCCUGGUGUAGCGGUGAAAUGCGCAGAUAUCAGGAAGAACACCAAUGGCGAAGGCAGCUCUCUGGGACGGUACUGACGCUGAGACGCGAAAGCGUGGGGAGCGAACAGG
rnacentral:rRNA from 1 species